rnacentral:lncRNA from 1 species
CUCAGGCAGGGUAGGCCGGGUUCCUCUCACAGAAGCUUUGGGACUGUUAUUUUUGGAGUACUUUAAAAAUUCCAUUUUAAAAAUGAACACAGUCAAAUUGAGCUUCCCCCUCGCCCAGUGUACAGGUCUGAGUCUUAACACGUCCCCAAGGCACUUAGGACACAGAGCAGGGCCAUCAGUUCAAGACAUCUUCAAGCUGCCCCUCUGUCGUCACGUCCUCUCCUGACCACUGUCCUCAGUCACCUCUGACCUGCUCUCCAUCACUGUCCGGAAAACAGAACAAAAGAAACAUCAGAAAACUUCCACAACCCGCGGUGAGACAAAAACUUUGAAGACUGGCUUCUGGCUCAGCCUUUGAGAUUUAUCUAAGGUCUGUGUGUGUCAACAGCACUUCACUGCUUUUUAUUGCUGACUCCUAUUUUAUUGUGUGGAAGUGCCAAAAUAUAACAACAAAACCACAAUCCACAAAAGAAAGAACUAUAGCGUUGCUUCCAGUUUAAAGGAAAAAAAAAUAGAACAGCAACAAAUUGAACUGCACCAAAAGGGGUAAGAAAAUUAAAUUCUCAUUUCCCUGGACAAGCACCCAGAAUGCUUGGUGUCCUUAGAAGCAACCAGCAGACAAUUUCUGGAGUGGCUGUACCCGUUCACAUCCUCUCCCCUGUUCUGUAUUCUUGUCGGCACUUGGUGGCUUUUCUGGUUCUUGUCUUGCUUUGUUUUUAGCCAUCCUGGGGGACAGUAUCUCAUCAGGAGUACUUCCCCAGUGUGAUGAUGUUGAGGGUCUGAUCUUAGCUUACUUGACUUCUCUAGGUCCUCUUUGGUGAAGGGUCUGUGCAAGUCCUUUGCUUAUUUUUAAUUGUGCUGUUAAUUUCUUACUACUGNCUGGUGCAUGCUGGGUGCGGAAGGAGGCCAGCACUGCCCCACACCCGCAGGCCCGCAGAGGGUGCAGGGGGGCGAGGCUUAAGUGGCAUGACCCCUUCCUGCCCAGAGCACCCCGCAGACAGCACACUUAUUUUGACGGUGUCCUGGAUCCCCCGCUUAGAGGAGCCUGUGAGGAGGGGCCAGAUAAAAGAGCAGCUCUUCCUGUGUCUCCUUCUGCAACUGUUUCUGGAUCGGUAUCAUUCCCAAAGUAACAGAAGACAGGACUACUCUGUUUAAAUAACAAAGACACUCUAAAUGGUCCCUCGCAACAAAAGUCUGGGCCGUUGUGGAGCGAGAGAGGCGUCUCCAACAGCCAGGGUGCUAAGUUUGACUUUCUGCGAUUCUCAAACAGGUUUCUGUGAUCGCAAGAUGCUAGCUGUAGCUCUGAGCAUCACUCACCAAAGAUAGCAAGAAAGGGGUGAUAGCCAAGAUGCUGGAAGAUGUGUUCUCAUGAGUCUCCUCCUGCCUCCCGGAGAGAGGAAAUCUUCCCCAGAACCUUCCGGGCUCGUUUUCACCGUUGGCUAGAGCUGGGUGAACGUGGCCUCUGUCGGCUCCCAGGGCAGCUGGGAGUGCAAGGUGGCUUGCCCUGAUUGCCAAGACUCUCUGAGGCCCACUGGGACUCAUUCCUGAGGCUUUAUAAAGCUGCCUGAACCAUGGUUAGCAAGGGAGGAAGCAAGGGCUGGCUGUGUUCACCACAGUGGUCAAACCCAAUUCUCGGCUUUAUGGCCAGGGAGUUGAUAGAUACCAUCACCUCCUUCUAAAACUCAAUAGCGAGUGGGUGGAGUUCUUUCCAAAUACCAGUGUGAAUGUCUGGCUAUCCUAAGCUGGAGAACUAUAUCCUCGCCAUGACUGACCCAGGGAAGGACGAACGUGCCUAAGCCUCCUGGUGUCCAGUACCUCACAGUGGAGAAACUGAGGCCAACGGCACUGUCCAAAGAGGAGAGAUGUGGCCUCAGCUGACACCGCUGUGGGGGGAAACUUCAAACAGAGAAAUAAAUAACGACACUUGUCCUGAGUAGUGACAGUCCUGGGGACCUGGUGAGAGCAAAUGUAAAACUACUUUUCACAGACUCAGGAGCAGUUCAACAGGCACGGACUCCCCUAGAAAGGCCAGCUCCACCAGCAAAGAGGAAAUAACAACAGAGAUUUCAGCUCACGUGGGGGACAACCCUAACCCUAACCCCUGUCCCUCAGGCAGGGUAGGCCGGGUUCCUCUCACAGAAGCUUUGGGACUGUUAUUUUUGGAGUACUUUAAAAAUUCCAUUUUAAAAAUGAACACAGUCAAAUUGAGCUUCCCCCUCGCCCAGUGUACAGGUCUGAGUCUUAACACGUCCCCAAGGCACUUAGGACACAGAGCAGGGCCAUCAGUUCAAGACAUCUUCAAGCUGCCCCUCUGUCGUCACGUCCUCUCCUGACCACUGUCCUCAGUCACCUCUGACCUGCUCUCCAUCACUGUCCUGUAAAGAGAAUGACAGCACCAUCUGUUGACUUCCGCUGCUCGCUGUGGGAGAGAAGCUUUGAAGACUGGCUUCUGGCUCAGCCUUUGAGAUUUAUCUAAGGUCUGUGUGUGUCAACAGCACUUCACUGCUUUUUAUUGCUGACUCCUAUUUUAUUGUGUGGAAGUGCCACAAUGUAUCAAUUUACCUAUAAUUCACCUGUUACAGGACUUUAGCGUUGCUUCCAGUUUGAGGUUAAAAUGAAUAGACCUGCUACAAAUUUACCUGUGUGUAAGGGGGUGGGGACGUUAAGUUCUCAUUUCCCUGGAGAAGCACCCAGAAUGCUUGGUGUCCUUAGAAGCAACCAGCAGACAAUUUCUGGAGUGGCUGUACCCGUUCACAUCCUCUCCCCUGUUCUGUAUUCUUGUCGGCACUUGGUGGCUUUUCUGGUUCUUGUCUUGCUUUGUUUUUAGCCAUCCUGGGGGACAGUAUCUCAUCAGGAGUACUUCCCCAGUGUGAUGAUGUUGAGGGUCUGAUCUUAGCUUACUUGACUUCUCUAGGUCCUCUUUGGUGAAGGGUCUGUGCAAGUCCUUUGCUUAUUUUUAAUUGUGCUGUUAAUUUCUUACUACUGGGUUUUGAGAGUUCUUUAUAUAUUUUUUUAUGUAAGUUGUUUGUUGGGUAUGUGGUUUACAAGUAUCUUAUUCAAGUACGUAGCUUGUCAUUUAAUUCUCUUAACCAUUUUGGUGAAGUCCAAUUUAUUACUAUUCUAUUUUUUUAUCCUUU